GCGUUGGUGGCUCAGUUGGUUAAGCAUCUGACUUCAACUCAGGUCAUGAUCUCACAGUUCAUGGGUUCAAGCCCCAUGUUGGGCU
rnacentral:tRNA from 1 species